GACGAACGCUGGCGGCGGGCUUAACACAUGCAAGUCGAACGGAAAGGCCCUGCUUUUGUGGGGUGCUCGAGUGGCGAACGGGUGAGUAACACGUGAGUAACCUGCCCUUGACUUUGGGAUAACUUCAGGAAACUGGGGCUAAUACCGGAUAGGAGCUCCUGCUGCAUGGUGGGGGUUGGAAAGUUUCGGCGGUUGGGGAUGGACUCGCGGCUUAUCAGCUUGUUGGUGGGGUAGUGGCUUACCAAGGCUUGGACGGGUAGCCGGCCUGAGAGGGUGACCGGCCACAUUGGGACUGAGAUACGGCCCAGACUCCUACGGGAGGCAGAAGUGGGGAAUAUUGCACAAUGGGCGGAAGCCUGAUGCAGCAACGCCGCGUGCGGGAUGACGGCCUUCGGGUUGUAAACCGCUUUCGCCUGUGACGAAGCGUGAGUGACGGUAAUGGGUAAAGAAGCACCGGCUAACUACGUG
rnacentral:rRNA from 1 species